rnacentral:rRNA from 1 species
UACGUAGGGGGCAAGCGUUGUCCGGAAUCAUUGGGCGUAAAGAGCGUGUAGGCGGCCAGAUAAGUCCGCUGUGAAAUCUCGAGGCUCAACUUCGAGCUGUCGGUGGAAACUGUCUGGCUAGAGUCCGGAAGAGGAGAAUGGAAUUCCUGGUGUAGCGGUGAAAUGCGCAGAUAUCAGGAAGAACACCCGUGGCGAAGGCGGUUCUCUGGGACGGUACUGACGCUGAGACGCGAAAGCGUGGGUAGCAAACAGG